rnacentral:pre_miRNA from 1 species
UCUUAUGGACGAGCAAAAAAAGUGGUUUGCUGAUAUGGAAUCUACUCCUGGUGAAGAAUGCUGUGAA